GAACAUAAAGAGCAGCACUGACAGUUAAAGCCACCCAGCCCAUCCUAGCUGCCUCACUCAGCCUCACAGAAAGGUUUAUGUCAUUGAUCCAGCAGUGCUGUGUCAUCUGUCUUUCCUAUGAGAAAAGACAACAUGAUCUUCAUGCAGAAGAAAGAAUCAUGUCACUUAAUGACAAGGCUACAUCCUGAAACGUGCUAGUGACCCUGAAGACACCAAAGAGCAAACACGCAAACCUACAUUGUGUGAGUCAAUCACUCGCUGUGGUCCCUGCCGCAAUCAAGAGAUGUGGUAAGCCCGAGAUGUAUGGCAGGAGGCUGCUGUCUGCUGUUUACAGAAAACCCUUUCCUAAGUGGAGGGAGAACAUUCUAACCUAACACUAAAAUAUGUGUGGUGGACUGACAGGAACCAGAAGCAGUCACAUGUCACCGGCCUGUAUGACUAGUAUGUGCUGUACUCUGUACAGCUGACAUCACAGUGGACUCGUUUAAACCAUCAUCGCCACAAACACGUGAGCGAUGUGUCGUACCAUGAUGAUAAUUCCAUGUCUGCAAAGUCACUAGGCAGAAACUUUCAACUCCACUGAGGUAUCACGGGACCACGAUGACAUCUGUGGUCCACCAUGGGCUGGAGGAUGUUAUGUGAAGCAUGGUUGUGUUUUGU
rnacentral:lncRNA from 1 species